GCAGGAGAAGGGGAAGGGUUGGCGGUUGUGUGGGCUUGGCCGUCUCCCCUCUGGGUUGGAUGGACUGCUCCGUCCCGAGGCAUGCUGGGAGCUGUAGUUCUGUGGUGCCGAGCGGUCACGUGGGCUCCGGGCAUGCGUGGCCGGUCUUCCCCCGAGCCGGGGCCGGGCCGGGCGGGCUGGGAGGCGCAGGUUGCCGCUGGAUGCGACCGCAGUUGCUGGCGCUCACCAGGGCAGAAGCAGCUCCCCACUGCUAGAACCCCUGUCGGGUUUAUUGCCGAGCGAAGGUGGCACGCUGGGUAAACUAAGGAAAUCUGCUGCUGGUGUGCUGCAGUUGCAGGUUUCCCAGGAGAAAGCAGCCUGUCUGUCCCGACUGUCCAACAAACCGUGUACGAUCCCAGGAGUGUAAGUACGGUCUUGUGUAGCAUUGUCAUUCUGCCCCACCACUCUGAUAUCUAACAAGGUAAUACUUUCUGGAUGUUGUCUACCAAUUCUUUCCUUCCUUAUGUAAGAGGUAGAUGCACGUAACGCGUAGUUUGUCAUAGAGCAUCACUGAAGUACUGUUUUAUUUGUAUUUGUGAAGACAGCAGAAUCAAAGAUAGCUGCUCAGCGACUCCCACUGAGAUGGUCAUUAAGAUAAAACAGUGAAGUUUCUAGCAUAUAUUAAAAAGCCUGGAGGAAUUAGCAUAGCUUGCAGGAAAUUGUGCUAGAAAGAGAGAGUAUUUGACAGCAAACAUGAAAAUUUUGUGUUUUUACCAAGAAGGAUGAGAACUGCUGCGUCUGCCCUGUGUUUGGAUAGGUAAGUGGGGUGAGUGAGUUAAGAGGAGCUGAGCAUAGAGUUUGCAGGGGAAUUGGGAAAUGAAUGAGAUAAUUUAACCUGUUUGCCAUUCAAGCAUUUUUUUAAAAAAUCCCAUACUUUUUGUUAUUAUCCAUAAUUUUUAAUAUAAGUCUCUAUUUUAAUUGGUUUGGUUUUAUGGAUAGCAGCUAACUAUAAAAAGAAACAAGAUCGUGAAGUGUCCUUGGAGCCACUAACUCUACCUCUCUGUCUAUUCCCUAAGAAGAUGCCCUGGAUUUAAAGGCGAUCUGUAUUAGAUGAAGUAUGAGAAGAAACAGCUUCUUCAGACACUUGCGCUCCUCUUCUUCAGCUUGUGCAGAAGGCUGACAGCCUGUCUCGCUCUGAUCAGUGAUAUCCCACCAGCUCCUUCAGGAGCUUAGUGCUACAUUUGGCAUGAUCUGAUCUUCCUGAUCCCCUCAUUUCUGUGCUGCACCACCACCAUCCUUGAGAACUCAGAUAGAAGAAAAGCUCUUUCCAGAGAGAUGGAGAAAGAAUUAAUUAUACCUCUGCCUUGUCCUAGAGACCAGAAGACAUGGAGUAACUGUAAGCUGCGAUUCUCAGGAGACAUACUAAGAGUCUCGGGUUCCUUCUCUGUCUGCCCCCCAAGGCCUUAGGGAUGAGAAAUCUUAGGCUUAAUGUUUUUCCCUAUGAAAUACUGUCGUGUUAAGGGGCGUAGCUGACUAACUGUUA